AUCGCCCCUCAUGUACCUGAAGGUCCGCAUUGCGCUUGGAUGAGGCGGCGGCGUUCCCCGCUUCGGACUUUGCCGUGUGUGUUCUGCAUCCCUUGCGGGGGCUGUUGAGCGAGACGGUCUCCUAUCUUUGUCAGUGAUCCUCCGAAUGACCCGAGUCGUGACCCCCGUUGGCGACAUGUCGUCCGUGGGUGGGGGUGAGGACGCAUCUCUCCAGAAAACGAGUUUUUUCGUCGGGUUUCGCGUGGUGCAUAUUCUUUGCCUGUGUUGUGGAUAUGUGCGCCUAAACACGAAAGAGAUGCAUAUGACUAUUCUGUGUCGUGGACGAGCCUUGUGCUUGCGUGAGUCGGGUGCAGGAGCACGGUGAUCUCCCACAACCAAGGGCAUGAUCGAGUAGCUGAUAUUCAGUAGUCAUGUCACGAAUGUGUGAUUGUCGUGACAAGAAGGUAAGCAAACGGGGACAAGUGGUGGAACGUGCGAUACGUUUGGGGCCAGUGUGCAGAAAGGGUCAGAGAAGUAGUGUUGUCGGUUCUAUCCGAUGAAGAGGGAACCGGCACGCGCCAGACGCCGGCAGCAUCAAUGAAGCUGACUAGUUACUAGUCCGACUAGCCUAGAUGGAGUGUAUGCGUGCUGUGCACCUCCACAGCGUGUUGCGUUACUCGACUUUACGGAAUCACUGUGUUGUUGGGGCUCGUUGUAGAAAUGUAUGACAAGGACAUUGUGGUGUAUCUGGCAACUGCUGAGGCGACAAUUAUCAAAAGACGGUGUCACUCAUGGGCGUUGGUACGCUUUUGACAAUGCCGCCAAUCCCAGGGGGCUCAUGACAUCUGUCCAGUCGCUUCAAUCGAUGGCAGUGCGCAUUGGGCUCGGCUGCGAGGGAUGCUUGGGUCACAGUACCGUCCCCCAAUACUCCACGACUGGCUGCGCGGUACCACAAGGAGGCAGCAGGAAACGUAGUCUGCGCUGAGUCAGAAGUCGUCUGUAUCGGCGAUGGCCGGGAGCCUCGUCGGCCGAUGCUACUCGUCAUGAUAGAAGUGCGCGCGUUGUGGGGCCGCCUAGAGGAUGGCGCGUGGUUUUUCUUGUUAUGCAUUGACUUAGGAGCUUGAGGGAGAGGUCAAGGCCAUCAGCGACAUGUUGAACGGAUUGUGGACGAUCUAGAGGAGUGGGUGCCUCCAGGGAAGCCGGAAGGCACAGUGCACCUAUCUCAACUGCAGAAAUGCAGACACGACGUAUUGGGUUGACACGAGUCGCGUACUCCGUGUCAAGGGCUUCUAGCUGUCAUGAAAAAGACACUGGCCAGCGUUAGCAACCCCGAGACGAGGCAACUUAGGGUUGGCAGGACGGUAGACAGCAUCACAGCGGCGGCCCGGUGCCGGACUGGGAACUAGACCCAGUACCCCGGGUGCGUGUGUAGGACGAGUUAGACAGCUAAGUUAUUUUUUGUAUAACGCGGUUGUGACGGUGACGUGGAAUCUUUGUUGAGCUUGCGUGUAGCUGAUGAGACUGAAUCAAUAUCCACUGCUUGGCGCAUCCGCUGCCUCUCUUGAUGUGUCGUAGCAUGUUGUGAACGGGCGGGAAGGAGAGUGCAAGACCGAUUGUGUUGUGUCUACUGGGUGUGUUGUAUGCAACGUGUCGUGCCGGGUGAAGGCCCCCUGCUGGGGAUGUGGUAGCUGUUUCGAGAGCCUCCAUGCUUGUUACCGAUGAAGACGCUGUCGGCUUACCGACCAAUCUGUCCGGUGCUCGCACCCGGUGGCAUACGUCGGUGGUGUGGACCCCUGAGAAGAACGGUCUUUUCACGUGGUUCGUCUUUAGCUGGGAAAACCCAUAGGAAACCUGCCGUGACGAGACGUCAUGGCUGUCCUGGAUCUUCUUACAUUGAUGGAUGGCGGCCAUCGUGGCGACGUCGUCUCAGACCUCGGCAUCGUAAGGGCAGUAAUGAAACGGGGAACGUUCUCAAACGUGCGUACGCGGGUGCCGCUUCAGAUGUUGAGGCAGUGUGCGGUUCUGCAGUCGUAUGCGAGCAGGCCGAAUACGUUGUGGCAAGCCGCUGUCUCAAGUGUUACCUCGCAAAAUCGGUCACGGGUUUCAGCAGUAGCAGACGGUACGCAGGGACAUGUUAGUGGCGACAGACUGUCACUUGCAUAGAAGGAGAAUAUGGCGAUGGAACCUGUCCAGGGCUGCCACGGCGUGUAGUCAGUGCCGGGGCUAAAGCAGAUGCGAAGGUGCCGGUACUCAAAUGUUAACGCGAAAUCGCCCCUUUCUUCCUGCGUAGACUUAGCAUCCGCUCAGCACAUGCCACGCGGCGUUCCUGUAGACGCGAUGAUUGUUUCGAAUUUCCCUUUCUCCGAAUGAUUUCGACUGCGUCUCCGCGGCAUCGAAGGCUGCGCCUCGAGGUGGGCCUAGGCGUGCAUGAGAUUCUCUUAUCUACCGUGUUGUCACCGCGGGUCUCCUCAGGUGAGCCCAAUGUUUGCCACCAAGCCAGUAUGGGGCGCCAUGAUUUGGACAAGAAGUUGUUUCAUUGUUGGUGGUGUCCUGUCGUUUCCAAAUAGACAGGAGACAACUGUCUCGGUAAUUGUUACAGACUUCAUUUCUGACGUGCAUACCGCUUUACUCGCUCCCUCCCAUAUCGCCGUUCCUUGUCUCCGUCUUUGUCUCGGCUGCCGUGAAAGCGAUGGAUCUUUUACCCUCAGUUUUCAUUUUAAUGUCAAAGUUUCAAGGGCACUACAAAAGGUGGUCAUCCCCUUUGCAAGUCUCCUGGCAAUACCGUGUGACCUGCGUAGAACCGAGGCAGUCGCCAUUCCACUGUACCUGUCGCGACGAAGAAGGUAGGUAGCAGUCAGUCAUGGGGGUCCGUUUGCGGCGGACACGAUGGCGAAGAGACACCCGAGAUUGACAGUCGGUGUGAGGAUAUCUGGUUUGCUAGUCGAUGUUGUCUGUACUGGAUGUGUUAUGAGUCGUACCUGGACCACGGGGAGAGGCAUUAUGAUGCUUUUUUCGCGCGAUGAGGCCAUUUCACGCAUACCACACAGUAAAUUGCCUGAACGUAUUGUCUUUCAUUUUGUAUUAAUGACGGAGUAAUACUCAACUGUCGCUGGGCGGAGGCAGUGGAUCUGUAGUUGCUCGUAUUCCCUUGCGCCUGGCAAAGGCCACCAAAGCGUGUUUUGAAGAGAUUUGAGAACUGUGGUGCCGCAUCUUUAAAACAUCAAAGCCGAUGUGAAGAACCGCGUACUGUUGGUAGCCUCAGGUGCUCCAGGAUAACUCCUUCGCGUGGGGUGGGCAUGUCCUGAACUCCUGCAGGCUAAGUAAGUAGGAAGAGGUGAAGUGGGGUCAUGCCGCACAGUAGCCACGUUGCUGGACAUUUUGCAGAAACCUGCUCCGUGUUUAUCCGCAGAUCGCGGUAUUAUUCGCCACGUAUGCGUGCACUACGGGAUCCGUUAACGAAUGGCCGCACGAGUUCAUCAGACAGUUGAAUACACUCGUGGUGACAAGAACUUUAAAUUUCUGAGGGAGGCCAUGAAUUAUCUGCUGAGGACUACAUGCACACUCCAGAGGAGCAGAUCUGUUGACAUGAUGUACAGUUGUGGUUGACAGCUGUACACGUGUCCCGCGUUAAUUCCGCGGGUGCCCGAAUACUGGUAGACCAUGCCUUUGAAAAACGUAUCAUUCUAAUCUACAGAAGCCACAGCAUCUUGCAACUGCCACACUUGAGUGAUAUUCGUGCGAGCACUGAAUGACAAAAACGCGAAUGUAUACGGAGCUUGUAAACGAUGGACACAGGAGACCACUUGUUGGCACCUCCAACCUAGAGCAGUGGAAUGUGUGAAGAGAGAGGUAGGCGAUUGGUGAAGCGUCCAGAUCGAAAAAGUGCACCUGUUUCGGAUAAUGUUGUUGCGGAAGCUUGUGAUUCACGUGUUGAUGGCACCAAAUUGACGCUGCGAUAUGUUGCCUGUCGUCCUUUGCGUGUGUGGUGAGGUUGUCAAUACAAGCGUUUGUUCGACCCGUGUGUCCUGGCACGUUCGGAGGUAAAUAUAAGUGACGUGGGCUCGGGCCAACAGAGUACCACUGGGGCUUGAGGUCACGACAUGUAGAAGCCAUACACGCAGUGCGAACGUGACGUGGUACUCAUGUGGCUUGUCUUACCGCAAACUGGUGAGCGGGGAAUGUACAGGAGGAGGCACAACUGGCGCUAUGAAAGGCAGUUGCAGCAGAUACUAUGUCACCAUUUGAUAAGAGAAUUCGAAGUAUGCGUCAGUAUUGCCCGCGUCACACUGUGUUACCAGAGCGACCAUGGUAUACUGAGGGGGGCCUCACGGAGACCGGAGCACCCGCAGAUGCUCAGUUCGCCGUUGUCCCUGCACCGCCAAGGAAGCGCAUUCGCCUUCCUGGCAGUGAUGAACUCGAACCAGAUGUUUAUGUUACAGGUUUUACGUCCAAGGAAUGUGGGGUUUUCACAAUUAGAAUAGCGGGGCUUGCGUGAAUGUGGACGUUACCACUCCGUCGACUCGAGUGGGUGCCAAAUUUUUGUGGUUCAUAAUUGCCAUAAUGCUCGGUUUUUCUAAGCGAAAGGCAUCUACGGAAAUGCCGCCGCAGUUCCUGUUUGCUGUAGUGUCAUGGCAGUGACCUCAUAUCCUUUGGUGAGUCAAUCGAGAGCAACAGUCUUCAGUCUCAUUCAUAUCUUCUCGCGUGUAUUUACUGUGGUUGUUGUGUUGUCAGGAAGCUUUUCCUUGAUCUAACUCCAGAGGGAAAUCAGUCUUUAGGCGUAUCUCCAGGAUCCGGAGGACGUGACAAAACACAGGGACGGAACUAAUUGUCGAAAGUUUUUGCUGAGGUUGAGAUUGAUCGUGGUGAAUUAUUCUUAUUUUUACGGAGAUUGUGCGAACAGGGGUGAAACACCUGUCACGCUAGUAUUUUUCUCAUCGCCAAUCAGUCUAGGGAAUGGGCAGAAUCAAUUUUGAUUUUCAUGUCUUGCUCUUCUUCACACCGCCAAAUAUUGCGACAAAGUGGCGAAAAGACGUGCAAAGUUUGUGCUGAAGUAUCGGGGGAUGGUUCGUACAACCCUGAGGGAAAACUCCAUGGUACAGAAGCAGGUACCGUACGCAUUGGCCAUGGGUUCGACUUGAAUAAAACGACCUUCCGUGAGGCAUUUCUCCUUUUCCUGCAAGUUCUUUCACGUGUGAAGUGGACCUACGUCGUGAUGUGCCGUACGGAUGUCAAAAUCGAACAACAUCUACACGCCAUCACUGAGUGUUUAACGCUAUGGAACAUGUUUGAACGAUGUAAUGUCUUCCAACAAAUGCUUGUCCAGCUGGUGAAGACCGCUCCACUUAUUCACGUAUGCGUGCUCGCACGCUUUGCUGCCU
rnacentral:lncRNA from 1 species